AACUGAACCCUGCAAUGGACCUGCAGGCUUGAAGAAAGGGGACACACACUAAAUGUUCAUUUUAAUCACAGCUCACAUGAAGUGAACUAAAGGAGGAGCAUUAAAACAAUCUAUACCCCCAAGCAGGGUUAAUUUCACCAAAUAUCCAUAUUCGAAGGAUUUAGACAGCUAUAAUUUUGGAGAUUUAAUGGACUGAAACAAUUCAGAUGACUAAAGUACGACUGAAA